UACGGGGGGAGCAAGCGUUGUUCGGAUUUACUGGGCGUAAAGGGCGCGCAGGCGGCCACCGCAAGUCGGUUGUGAAAUCUCCGGGCUUAACCCGGAAAGGUCAAUCGAUACUGCGGGGCUAGAGUGCAGAAGGGGCAACUGGAAUUCUCGGUGUAGCGGUGAAAUGCGUAGAUAUCGAGAGGAACACCAGUGGCGAAGGCGGCUUCCUGGCCUGUUCUUGACGCUGAGGCGCGAAAGCUAGGGUAGCAAACGGG
rnacentral:rRNA from 1 species